GCAUUUGCGAAAUCUAUUUAAAAGGACGAGUGUCAGUAAUUCCCCGGCCAAAGUUCAAAUGUCAGCCGGUUCGUGUGGGUAUGUCUGUGGUGGAGAUAUAUUUUCCGAUUCCCCAUGGUCGGGGGAUGAUACGCCGAGUCCUGUGUGGGUGCCGCAUAUCUGGUGGCAUUCAAUUGGAAUAUCAACACGUGCCACAUCAUCUUCAGCAGCAUCGGAAGCUUGUGGAGCUGCUUCUCCUCCUGCUUUCGCAUAGUUCAGUUCGCCUUUUCCGCUCGGCAUUUGUCUUAGUGGAGAACGAGCCCGACUUCAUUAGAAAAUUCCGCAAAUAUUUUGAAUUUAUUAUUGCGUUUUUAUAUUCCAGCCGAAUGAAAAGGCUUUGGCUAUGCUGAAUGGGAUUUUUCUUCAUUGCCAGUGAAAGUGAAUAGCUGACUGGCUCAUUGAAGGAUUUCUGUUUGAAUUGGCCGUUUCUUUCACUUUGAGGAACCACUAGCAUAUAAUUGAGGAAGACGACAAGUCCUGCGCAGUGUCCGAAAAGGAGGCGUGGCCAAGGACGACCAAUCGGAUGGCUCGGAUAAUACGCAUUGCUUUUAUCCGCCAGUCAGAGGAAAAUGCCGAAGCGGUAGGAAGCUGUGGAAAUCACUCGGCUCCUCACUUGUUGCGCGCCAAGUGAGCAAGUGGAAAGGCGCCGGGGAAAAGCGUGAAAAUUGAUAAUAAACGCACUUCGCACGUACACACACUCGCACGAGCAUUUAGAGGGUGUGGUCGCAUGGGACACUUCUAGUCACAUUUAUUGCCAGCUUUUAUUUUAUGCUUUUGAUUUAUCGUGCGGCUUUUACACUUAAGAAAUAGUUGGAAAGAAACUUUUUUCGGUCAGCUACAGUAUUAAAAUCAUUCACCAUUGUGCAGACAAAGAACGAUGGCAUACUUUUAGGCCCAGCACAUAAAUAAUUGCCAAUCCAAAGCAAUAUAAAGAUGUACUUGGUCAUAAUCUGAUGACCAUAUGCAAUCCGUUACAAUUUCCAACUUAGAAUGCUUUGGUGAUUUUAUGAUUAAUGUGCACUCCCUUCUGCACUCCAUCCAUCUUCUCAGUUAGCACCCUGGACAUUGACCAAUUGUCGGGCCAUUAGUUCCCCUUCUAUAAGAGCCUUGUCGUCUUAAGUUUCCUUGCGGAUGGAUGGCUACUGUUCCGGCCAUUCCACCCUCUACUUAUCUAGUUAAUUGCAUUUUUAUUUGCCUGUUGCGCGAAAACAAAACCAAAAAAAGAAACACAAGUGGAAUGGAUUUUGUGGCGCUUUAAGUAAAUAAUACAGUUUUUAUUACCUCCAUCGAAUUGUACAGAUAACGCGAGUCAGCUUAAGUACUUAGCACUCGACGCAAUUAGUCGUAUGUUUUGUAAUAAUAAAAACUUAAGAGCUACGCGUAAGCUGUAUUUUUUUUUUGUUCACAAGAAU